UUCGUAGGCGGUGCGGCAAGUCGGGAGUGAAAUCUCUGGGCUUAACUCAGAGGCUGCUCUCGAAACUGCCGUGCUCGAGUGCGGGAGAGGCGAGUGGAAUUGCAGGUGUAGCGGUGAAAUGCGUAGAUAUCUGCAGGAACACCCGUGGCGAAGGCGGCUCGCUGGACCGCAACUGACGCUGAGGAACGAAAGCUAGGGGAGCAAACAGGAUUAGAUACCCUGGUAGUCCUAGCCCUAAACCAUCAGGACUUGGGGUGGCCCGCGUAGGCGGGUCGUCCCGCAGCUAACGCGUUAAGUCCUGCGCCUGGGGAUACGGUCGCAAGACUGAAA
rnacentral:rRNA from 1 species